CCUACGGGGGGCAGCAGUGAGGAAUAUUGGUCAAUGGGCGCGAGCCUGAACCAGCCAAGUAGCGUGAAGGAUGACUGCCCUACGGGUUGUAAACUUCUUUUAUAAAGGAAUAAAGUGAGGCACGUGUGCCGUGUUGUAUGUACGUGAUGAAUAAGGAUCGGCUAACUCCGUGCCAGCAGCCGCGGUAAUACGGAGGAUCCGAGCGUUAUCCGGAUUUAGUGGGUUUAAAGGGAGCGUAGAUGGGUUGUUAAGUCAGUGGUGAAAGUUUGCGGCUCACCCGUAAAAUUGCCAUUGAUACUGGCAGUCUUGAGUACAGUUGAGGUAGGCGUACUUCGUGGUGUAGCGGU
rnacentral:rRNA from 1 species